rnacentral:rRNA from 1 species
AUGAAAGUUGCUCAGAACAACGAGACGAAUCUGGAUACGCAGCCCGUUCGUCCGCCACGCGUCCCUAGCAUAGUGAACCUGCAACAUUUCACCUCAGGUUCAUCUGUCCGAAAACAUGGAACACCGGGGAUACUUUCCCGGAUGUUUCCCCCCUUCACCGGUAUCACCUCAGACCGCGUUAGAACACGUCUAGCUCUGCUUGUUGCCCUGAUAUGCAUCUGUUUGCAUGGUAUUCAUUGUUUCUUCCCCCUCUUCUCUCUGGUAGACUACGAGACUGACGUUGCUGCUGCCCAGUUGGACUACGGAGUUGACGACCACUCUCCCUUGCCAGAGCAACCAGGCAAGCCCCCCCCUUGA